CUACCCUGUAUCAACUCCCGCGCAGCCCGCCGGUGGUACACUAAACUCUUGUUUUAUUUUAUAUUCUGAGCGUAUUAUUUUAAUAAUUAAAACUUUCAACAACGGAUCUCUUGGUUCUGGCAUCGAUGAAGAACGCAGCGAAAUGCGAUAAGUAAUGUGAAUUGCAGAAUUCAGUGAAUCAUCGAAUCUUUGAACGCACAUUGCGCCCAUCAGUAUUCUGGUGGGCAU
rnacentral:rRNA from 1 species